UACGAAGGGGGCUAGCGUUGUUCGGAAUCACUGGGCGUAAAGGGCGCGUAGGCGGCUUUAUAAGUCGGGUGUGAAAGCCUGUGGCUCAACCACAGAAUUGCCUUCGAUACUGUAGAGCUUGAGACCGGAAGAGGUAAGUGGAACUGCGAGUGUAGAGGUGAAAUUCGUAGAUAUUCGCAAGAACACCAGUGGCGAAGGCGGCUUACUGGUCCGAUUCUGACGCUGAGGCGCGAAAGCGUGGGGAGCAAACAGG
rnacentral:rRNA from 1 species